rnacentral:rRNA from 1 species
CUCCUACGGGAGGCAGCAGUGGGGAAUAUUGCACAAUGGGCGAAAGCCUGAUGCAGCAACGUCGCGUGAGUGAUGAAGGCCUUCGGGUCGUAAACUCUGUCCUCAAGGAAGAUAAUGACUGUACUUGAGGAGGAAGCCCCGGCGAACUACGUGCCAGCAGCCGCGGUAAUACGUAGGGGGCUAGCGUUAUCCGGCUUUACUGGGCGUAAAGGGUGCGUAGGCGGUCUUUCAAGUCAGGAGGGAAAGGCUACGGCGCAACCGAAGGAAGCUCUUGAAACUGGGAGACUUGCGGGGAGGAGAGGAGAGUGGCAGUCCUAGGGUAGAGGGGAGAUGCGAAGAUAGUAGGAGGAACACCAGUUGCGAAGGCGGCGCUCUGGACUGUAACUGACGCGGAGGCACGAAAGGGGGGGG